rnacentral:rRNA from 1 species
UACGGAGGAUGCAAGCGUUAUCCGGAAUGAUUGGGCGUAAAGCGUCCGCAGGUGGCUAUGUAAGUCUGCUGUUAAAGAGUCUAGCUCAACUAGAUAAGAGCAGUGGAAACUACAAGGCUAGAGUACGUUCGGGGCAGAGGGAAUUCCUGGUGUAGCGGUGAAAUGCGUAGAGAUCAGGAAGAACACCAGUGGCGAAGGCGGCAUCCUGGACCGGCAUUGACGCUGAGGAGCGAAAGCCAGGGGAGCAAACGGG